rnacentral:rRNA from 1 species
GGCGGACGGGUGAGUAAUGCUUAGGAAUCUGCCUAUUAGUGGGGGACAACAUUCCGAAAGGAAUGCUAAUACCGCAUACGUCCUACGGGAGAAAGCAGGGGAUCUUCGGACUUUGCGCUAAUAGAUGAGCCUAAGUCGGAUUAGCUAGUUGAUGGGGUAAAGGCCUACCAAGGCGACGAUCUGUAGCGGGUCUGAGAGGAUGAUCCGCCACACUGGGACUGAGACACGGCCCAGACUCCUACGGGAGGCAGCAGUGGGGAAUAUUGGACAAUGGGGGGAACCCUGAUCCAGCCAUGCCGCGUGUGUGAAGAAGGCCUUAUGGUUGUAAAGCACUUUAAGCGAGGAGGAGGCUACUGAGACUAAUACUCUUGGAUAGUGGACGUUACUCGCAGAAUAAGCACCGGCUAACUCUGUGCCAGCAGCCGCGGUAAUACAGAGGGUGCGAGCGUUAAUCGGAUUUACUGGGCGUAAAGCGUGCGUAGGCGGCUUUUUAAGUCGGAUGUGAAAUCCCCGAGCUUAACUUGGGAAUUGCAUUCGAUACUGGGAAGCUAGAGUAUGGGAGAGGAUGGUAGAAUUCCAGGUGUAGCGGUGAAAUGCGUAGAGAUCUGGAGGAAUACCGAUGGCGAAGGCAGCCAUCUGGCCUAAUACUGACGCUGAGGUACGAAAGCAUGGGGAGCAAACAGGAUUAGAUACCCUGGUAGUCCAUGCCGUAAACGAUGUCUACUAGCCGUUGGGGCCUUUGAGGCUUUAGUGGCGCAGCUAACGCGAUAAGUAGACCGCCUGG